rnacentral:rRNA from 1 species
CACGCAGGCGGUUUUUUAAGUCAGAUGUGAAAGGUACCGGCUCAACCGGUGACAUGCAUUUGAAACUGAAAGACUUGAGUAUUGGAGAGGCAAAUGGAAUUCCUAGUGUAGCGGUGAAAUGCGUAGAUAUUAGGAGGAACACCGGUGGCGAAGGCGGCUUGCUGGACAAAUACUGACGCUGAGGUGCGAAAGCGUGGGGAGCAAACA